rnacentral:rRNA from 1 species
UCGGACGGGUGAGUAACGCGUGAGAAUCUACCCUUAGGAGGGGAAUAACAGCUGGAAACGGCUGCUAAGACCCCAUAUGCCGAGAGGUGAAAAAGAUUUCUGCCUAAGGAAGAGCUCGCGGCUGAUUAGCUAGUUGGUAGGAUAAAAGACUACCAAGGCAACGAUCAGUAGCUGGUUUGAGAGGACGAUCAGCCACACUGGGACUGAGACACGGCCCAGACUCCUACGGGAGGCAGCAGUGGGGAAUCUUCUGCAAUGGGCGAAAGCCUGACAGAGCAAUACCGCGUGAGGGAUAAAAGCCUGAGGGUCGUAAACCUCUUUUUUCAGGGAAGAAAUUUGACGGUACCUGAAGAAUAAGCAUCGGCUAACUCCGUGCCAGCAGCCGCGGUAAUACGGAGGAUGCAAGCGUUAUCCGGAAUCACUGGGCGUAAAGCGUCUGUAGGUGGCUUUUCAAGUCUGCUGUUAAAGACUGAGGCUUAACCUCAGAAAAGCAGUGGAAACUGACAAGCUAGAGCAUGGUAGGGGUAAAGGGAAUUCCCAGUGUAGCGGUGAAAUGCGUAGAUAUUGGGAAGAACACCUGUGGCGAAAGCGCUUUACUGGACCAUUGCUGACACUGAGAGACGAAAGCUAGGGGAGCGAAUGGGAUUAGAUACCCCAGUAGUC